GGGAAGUGGAGCUUUCCGCCAUCUUGAGGCUAAUCAGCUUUGUCAUUCUCUCAAAGGCUCCGCCCUGCCCGCUUCUCUCCUGUCUCACCUAGAAGACUACUGGGCUGGAGAACUUGAGAACACCACUUUUCUACAUCUCCUGAAGGACAAGUUCUGGACGACACUAGCACCUUCACUCCACAAAGGUUAGUUUGUGACCUUCUUGCUUUCUAGUAUGUUUUAGGUAAUUUUAGAAAACAAGACUACUGCUUUGCAACAUGGUAGGUAAACAGCAGUUUCCAUUUCAAGGGGAAAUCAUACCUGACCAUCUUGCCGCCUGGGUUCCACUAGAUUAGAAAACAAGCAGAGAUAAACACAGCUUUAGUGAGUUGGUCGCACACUAAGGGAAGGAAUAACUGGGCCUUUUAAGAUAAAUGGAACUGACAAAGGGCAAGUUCUGCAAAGAGUAAACACAGCUCUAGGAAAGUUAUUCUGAACGCUGAUAUCUGCAAAUGAUAGCUGUAUAAUGUUGAUGCAAAGGUCUUUUUCCCAAGAUUUGAAAUAAAAUCCCCGCUUCCACCCCCCCCACCCCACACCAUUUAACCAAGCUGAUAAAAAUCAUGUUGUCAGAAAUGACGGAACUAAUUUGUGACUUUUUCCCAAACCAAUUUUGAUGUAAUACAAGAUUAAAUGAAUAGUUUCUCUUAUUUUCCUCUAGCACAAAUUAGAACAAAUUGUACUGUUCUGUGUCCUGUUACACAGACUGGCUUGACGUAAAAUUCAGGAUUUUAAUCCAAGAUUUGGAGAAUUAUUAUCAGAGAUCCAUUUUUACCCUCGACAUUGAUUGGAUUCUUAGAGGCUAACUGGUGAUUUCUUAUUGGGGAAUAGUCGUUAAAGUGACGACAUUUGGCGUGGUUUUGAGCUCUGGUCCAGAACUCCCAGGCCUUCUCAGGGUCUGCUUGUUUGGGGCCUGAGUUUAUUCACUGGGGUUGUAAGAACCAAAGUUUCCCGGUUAAUGUUUCUUCCACGCAGUGAUAAAUUGGAGGGGGGGCACAUCAGGCAAGCGAUCGUGUCGUGAUUUGUACUUGUAGCAGUUCACACUUCCAGCCCUUUGCCAAUUAUACCUGCGAUGCAACUCCUGACACUUAAACAGGCAUCUUCUCACAUGAACAUAUGUUAUCUCCCCUUUGGAGGAAAUGAAUCCCAGCCUCAAGAACACUAGCAGGCCACGAUUAGUUCUAAUCUCUAGGUUUUAUGAAAGGAAAAUUGACUAUAAGAGAAUAUAAGAAAACCAGGGGAGAGAUCCCAUCGUGGCACAGCGGAAAUGAAUCUGACUAGGAACCAUGAGGUUGCGGGUUUGAUCCCU
rnacentral:lncRNA from 9 species